rnacentral:rRNA from 1 species
ACGGAUAUCUCGGCUCUUGCAUCGAUGAAGAACGUAGCGAAAUGCGAUACCUGGUGUGAAUUGCAGAAUCCCGCGAACCAUCGAGUCUUUGAACGCAAGUUGCGCCCGAGGCCUUCUGGCCGAGGGCACGCCUGCCUGGGCGUCACGCCAAACACGCUCCCCCC